UAGGCGUAUACUGAAAAGCCUAAAUAGAGUAGGUA
rfam:Tenacibaculum mesophilum strain DSM 13764 genome assembly, contig: Ga0131220_104